rnacentral:rRNA from 1 species
GUAUGAGCACGGGAGACAGACGCCGGGUGCUAACGUCCGACGUCGAAAGGGAAACAACCCAGACCGCCAGCUAAGGUCCCUAAUAUUUGCUAAGUGGGAAACGAAGUGGGAAGGCUAAAACAGUCAGGAGGUUGGCUUAGAAGCAGCCAUCCUUUAAAGAAAGCGUAAUAGCUCACUGAUCGAGUCGUCCUGCGCGGAAGAUGUAACGGGGCUAAGCAAGUAACCGAAGCUGCGGAUCUCAGUAAUGAGAUGGUAGGGGAGCGUUCCGUACGUCUGUGAAGGUGAGUCGUAAGGCUUGCUGGAGAUAUCGGAAGUGCGAAUGCUGACAUGAGUAGCGUUAAACAGGGUGAAAAGCCUUGUCGCCG